rnacentral:rRNA from 1 species
AAAGCGUGCGCAGGCGGUUAUGCAAGACAGAUGUGAAAUCCCCGGGCUCAACCUGGGAACUGCAUUUGUGACUGCAUAGCUAGAGUACGGUAGAGGGGGAUGGAAUUCCGCGUGUAGCAGUGAAAUGCGUAGAUAUGCGGAGGAACACCGAUGGCGAAGGCAAUCCCCUGGACCUGUACUGACGCUCAUGCACGAAAGCGUGGGGAGCAAACAGGAUUAGAUACCCCUGU